rnacentral:rRNA from 1 species
UUUUUCGGCCAUACCAUCUUGAACAAGACUGAUCCCGUCUGAUCUCAGAAGCUAAGCAGAGUCGGGCCUGGUUGGUACUUGGAUGGGAGACCACCUAGGAAGACCAGGUGCUGUAAGCA